rnacentral:rRNA from 1 species
ACAUGCAAGUCGAGGGGCAGCAUUUAGUUUGCUUGCAAACUAAAGAUGGCGACCGGCGCGCGGGUGAGUAACACGUAUCCAACCUGCCGAUAACUCGGGGAUAGCCUUUCGAAAGAAAGAUUAAUAUCCGAUAGUAUAUUAAAACCGCAUGGUUUUACUAUUAAAGAAUUUCGGUUAUCGAUGGGGAUGCGUUCCAUUAGUUUGUUGGCGGGGUAACGGCCCACCAAGACUACGAUGGAUAGGGGUUCUGAGAGGAAGGUCCCCCACAUUGGAACUGAGACACGGUCCAAACUCCUACGGGAGGCAGCAGUGAGGAAUAUUGGUCAAUGGACGAGAGUCUGAACCAGCCAAGUAGCGUGAAGGAUGACUGCCCUAUGGGUUGUAAACUUCUUUUAUAUGGGAAUAAAGUAUUCCACGUGUGGAAUUUUGUAUGUACCAUAUGAAUAAGGAUCGGCUAACUCCGUGCCAGCAGCCGCGGUAAUACGGAGGAUCCGAGCGUUAUCCGGAUUUAUUGGGUUUAAAGGGAGCGUAGGUGGAUUGUUAAGUCAGUUGUGAAAGUUUGCGGCUCAACCGUAAAAUUGCAGUUGAAACUGGCAGUCUUGAGUACAGUAGAGGUGGGCGGAAUUCGUGGUGUAGCGGUGACAUGCUUAGAUAUCAC